AUGCUCGCUUUGGCAGCACGUAUCCUAAAAUUGAAGUGAUGCAGAGAAGAUUAGCAUGGCCCCUGUGCAAGGACGACACGCAAACACACACACAUUACGACUUC
rfam:Canis lupus familiaris chromosome 34, whole genome shotgun sequence.